UGUUAGAUGAAAUGCUAUCAGUCUUACUCCUCGAGAUCGUGGAAUAAUCUUGAGAAGGAAGCUCUGCAGUCAUCGGUACAGUCCCCUCCUCAGAGCAGGCUGCAUGAACCUGGCAAAGAACGGUUCCCAUUUCCACAGUCAAGCGUCGGUUAUCAUUGAAAACUUCAGAUGGAUCCCAAAAUCCUGGAGGAUGGAACAUUCUGCAGAGCCAGGAGUAAGGGAAGGAUACCUGCAGCACAGUCAGCCCUCUGUGAGAUCUGUGGGCUUUAAGGACGGAUUCCUUUUAAACGAAACAACACACGGGGCUUCUGCUAACAAACCAGCAUGGCCUCAAUGACGUGUCCAUAAAUACAUGCAAGUCUGGACCUGUUCAACCACGUGUCUCUGUAGGAUCACCACCAGCUGGCAGA